rnacentral:rRNA from 1 species
UACGUAGGGUGCAAGCGUUGUCCGGAAUUAUUGGGCGUAAAGAGCUCGUAGGCGGUUUGUCGCGUCGAAUGUGAAAACCCGGGGCUCAACCCCGGGCCUGCAUUCGAUACAGGCAGACUAGAGUUCGGUAGGGGAGUCUGGAAUUCCUGGUGUAGCGGUGAAAUGCGCAGAUAUCAGGAGGAACACCGGUGGCGAAGGCGGGACUCUGGGCCGAUACUGACGCUGAGGAGCGAAAGCGUGGGGAGCAAACAGG